AAAGCGUUCCACAGGGAUGCUGGUCCAUGUUGACUCUACAAGGUGUUGAAAGCGUUCCACAGGGAUGCUGGCCCCAUGUUGACUCUACAAGGUGUUGAAAGCGUUCCACAGGGAUGCUGGCCCAUGUUGACUCUACAAGGUGUAGAAAGCGUUCCACAGGGAUGCUGGUCCAUGUUGACUCUACAAGGUGUUGAAAGCGUUCCACAGGGAUGCUGGUCCAUGUUGACUCUACAAGGUGUCUAAAGCGUUCCACAGGGAUGCUGGUCCAUGUUGACUCUACAAGGUGUUGAAAGCGUUCCACAGGGAUGCUGGCCCAUGUUGACUCUACAAGGUGUCUAAAGCGUUCCACAGGGAUGCUGGUCCAUGUUGACUCUACAAGGUGUUGAAAGCGUUCCACAGGGAUGCUGGUCCAUGUUGACUCUACAAGGUGUCUAAAGCGUUCCACAGGGAUGCUGGUCCAUGUUGACUCUACAAGGUGUUGAAAGCGUUCCACAGGGAUGCUGGUCCAUGUUGACUCUACAAGGUGUCUAAAGCGUUCCACAGGGAUGCUGGUCCAUGUUGACUCUACAAGGUGUCUAAAGCGUUCCACAGGGAUGCUGGUCCAUGUUGACUCUACAAGGUGUCGAAAGCGUUCCACAGGGAUGCUGGUCCAUGUUGACUCUACAAGGUGUCGAAAGCGUUCCACAGGGAUGCUGGUCCAUGUUGACUCUACAAGGUGUCGAAAGCGUUCCACAGGGAUGCUGGUCCAUGUUGACUCUACAAGGUGUCGAAAGCGUUCCACAGGGAUGCUGGUCCAUGUUGACUCUACAAGGUGUUGAAAGCGUUCCACAGGGAUGCUGGCCCAUGUUGACUCUACAAGGUGUUGAAAGCGUUCCACAGGGAUGCUGGCCCAUGUUGACUCUACAAGGUGUUGAAAGCGUUCCACAGGGAUGCUGGCCCAUGUUGACUCUACAAGGUGUUGAAAGAGUUCCACAGGGAUGCUGGCCCAUGUUGACUCUACAAGGUGUUGAAAGCGUUCCACAGGGAUGCUGGCCCAUGUUGACUCUACAAGGUGUCGAAAGCGUUCCACAGGGAUGCUGGCCCAUGUUGACUCUACGAGGUGUUGAAAGCGUUCCACAGGGAUGCUGGUCCAUGUUGACUCUACAAGGUGUCGAAAGCGUUCCACAGGGAUGCUGGUCCAUGUUGACUCCACAAGGUGUCUAAAGCGUUCCACAGGGAUGCUGGUCCAUGUUGACUCUACAAGGUGUCGAAAGCGUUCCACAGGGAUGCUGGUCCAUGUUGACUCUACAAGGUGUUGAAAGCGUUCCACAGGGAUGCUGGCCCAUGUUGACUCUACAAGGUGUUGAAAGCGUUCCACAGGGAUGCUGGUCCAUGUUGACUCUACAAGGUGUUGAAAGCGUUCCACAGGGAUGCUGGUCCAUGUUGACUCCAAUGCUUCCCACAGUUGUGUCAAAUUGGCUGGGGAAACUUAAUAUAGUAUAGACCAGGAAGCAUAGCUUUCACCUGGUCA